UACGUAGGGAGCAAGCGUUGUCCGGAAUCAUUGGGCGUAAAGCGCGCGUAGGUGGCUUCAUAAGUCCGUUGUGAAAGUCAAAGGCUCAACCUUUGAAAGCCGAUGGAUACUGUGGAGCUAGAGUACGGAAGAGGCGAGUGGAAUUCCUGGUGCAGCGGUGAAAUGCGCAGAUAUCAGGAGGAACACCGGUGGCGAAGGCGGGUCUCUGGGCCGUAACUGACGCUGAGGAGCGAAAGCGUGGGGAGCGAACAGG
rnacentral:rRNA from 1 species